UUUGUUUAGCAGUUCUUGGUUCACAAUGUUCUCUGACAAAUCAUCUCGACAGUAUGUGUUGUCCUGUGUCUUUCUUUUAAUUUGUGUUCAGCAUGGAUUUUCGUGUGAAGACUCUGUUUUUAUUAACUCUUUGAGCAUUAUAUCGGAAUGCAGAAGUCAGAUGCAUGAUAUUUUGCAUAUAAUGUGCCGGCUACCAAGUAUGUUGGAUGUUUUCGACCUACGUGAUUCAUCUGCCAUACAUGCAAGACAACCAUUGACAAUGGAUGAUUUAGUCUGUGAAUGCUGUUUCAAAGCUUGCUUUCCCAGUGAUUUCAACAGAUAUUGCCAUUUAGCAAAGUGAUAUCAUUAAUUGUAUGAAGCAGCCGGUUAUUUGUUCGACAUAUUUUAUAAAUGUUAUAGCUUGAGACGGUGACUAUUUGUUCUUUGUUUUGGAUAUGUUAAGUUUUACAAGAAAAAUAAAAAAUAUUAUAUGU
rnacentral:sRNA from 1 species